rnacentral:rRNA from 1 species
AAACCGCUUAGGGGUUAAACCCGAUGAACCUGAAUAUCUGAAAUGAGAAAUUCAAUAUGAUUGUCUGUUGUGUCUCACAAUGGAUGAUUAUAUGCACUUUUCUCAUAAGUAAGACAUUGCAAUCUAUUGGCUAUCAUGGCAAUUAUUUAUUUAAAUUAAAUAAUGCUAUUAUUUUAUCAUACGGCCUCAAUAGCUUUAGUUUAUACUUAUAUGGCUUGUCUAUAUUUGUAUAAUGCUAUAUAGUGUCCCGAUAAAUAUCCGAUAGAUUUUAAAAAUCUAUGCAUUAUAUUUUGUUGUGUUUAUACUUGAUUGUUAUAUUCACUAUAUACAAUGUGCAUAUAUUUGAUUAGCAAUGCGAUAGAUUUGGGAUACCUUCGGGACCCGUCUUGAAACACGGACCAAGAAGUCUAACAUGUGUGCAAGUCAAUGGGUUUUAUAUAUCUACAUAUGAAUUUAUGUGGUAUAUAAUUUUUAAACCUAUAGGCAUAAUUAACAUAACUAUAUUUUAUAUAUAUGGGAUAACAAAUAAUAUUAUAUAUUAUUUUACCAUCCUGGGGCGUUCUAUAUAGAACAUGAUUUUCAUUUUAUGAAUAGUCCUCUGUUCUAGAGCGUACCUUAAGCAUACAUGCUGU